rnacentral:lncRNA from 1 species
AUUAAGACUAAUGUGAGUAUGUGCACACGGUAACGUUUUCGAGCGUUUUCAUUUGUGUUUUCACGCUAAAACGGAUACAAACACUAUCAAUUUAUGACAGAAGUUGUAGUUUAUUUAAUAUAUCCGAGAUAUUUUCCUUUGGACUGUGCGAAUACGGCGUCAAAACCAUUUUACGGACAAAAACGUUUUUGAAAACGCUGCAAAACGACGCCCGUGUACACAUAGCCUAAGAUUGUCAGUCCAGUUUUCAUCCACAACAGAUGAUGAAUUUGUGCAUGCCAUAUGUAGAAAAGAGUCUUAAAGCGAUAAACAAAGGACUUGCAAAUUGUUAAUAGACAUAUCACAAAACCUGCACAGAAUGCCUGCAGAUCGAGUUUAACACUUUCCGAUCUCGAAUCUACUAUUAUACAAUCUUCAGAAUUCUGUAUAAUAAUCUUACCUCACAAUGUUGGAAAUCACAUUUCAAUCAUGGACUCUAGAUUUCAAAAUUUUCCUACGGAAGCAUGCCCCCGAAGCCAUCUUCUGUCUUUGGCAUUCCAUAAUAUCCCCUCCCCCCAGUUUUACUACUCUCAUAUCCUGGUGCCAAGACAAAGCUAUAGUGAAUUUAGACGUUAUUCACCUAAGAAUACCUAGUCAAAAUAAGAAACAUUUUCUUGGGAAAAUACCCUAACCCCACAAUGGCAAUGGUUACUUUGCAAUUAUGUACUAAUAACUCAUACACCAUUUUUGGUUGAUAAUUUACAAACAAAUUUGGAUUAUGAAAAUGUGUAAGCUACUUUCAAAAUUAGACUUUGUAAUGCUUU